rnacentral:rRNA from 1 species
ACAAGGUUUCUGUAUGUGAACCUGUGAAAGGAUCAUAGCCGAGACCCA